AGAGUGAACGCUGGCGGCAUACUUAACACAUGCAAGUCGCACGGGCAGGGGAACUCUGUCAGUGGCGGACGGGUGAGUAACGCGUAGGUAUCUAUCCUCGGGUGGGGGACAACCACGGGAAACUGUGGCUAAUACCGCAUGAUGACUGAGGUCCAAAGGCGCAAGUCGCCUGGGGAGGAGCCUGCGUCCGAUUAGCUUGUUGGUGGGUAAAGGCCUACCAAGGCUCCGAUCGGUAGCUGGUCUGAGAGGAUGAUCAGCCACACUGGGACUGAGACACGGCCCAGACUCCUACGGGAGGCAGCAGUGGGGAAUAUUGGACAAUGGGCGAAAGCCUGAUCCAGCAAUGCCGCGUGGGUGAAGAAGGUCUUCGGAUUGUAAAGCCCUUUCGACGGGACGAUGAUGACGGUACCCGUAGAAGAAGCCCCGGCUAACUUCGCGCCAGCAGCCGC
rnacentral:rRNA from 1 species